rnacentral:lncRNA from 1 species
GUUGUGGUUAACAGCAAUGAUUCCGAAAGCCAGGCCUCCAGCUUGCAAUCAAGCAGGACAGGCUUGUAAAUCUACAAGGGGACCACAAUACAUGCUCUUGGUUUUCGCGUUUCUGCUCAUGUCGGUUGGUGCUGGAGGUAUAAGACCAUGUUCUUUAGCAUUUGGUGCUAACCAGUUUGACAAGGGAGGUAGCAAUCCCAACAAACAGACAGUGUUGGAGAGCUUCUUUGCCUGGUAUUAUACUUCAUCCGUAGUCUCUGUUCUGAUUGCCCUGACUGGUAUCGUUUACCUUCAAGACAAACUCGGGUGGAAAAUAGGUUUUGGAGUUCCUGCAAUGCUAAUGUUCUUAUCCGCGUUGUUUUUCUUCCUUGCUUCUCCGUUUUAUAUCAAGCAAAAGGUUCGCUCGAACGUGUUUGCCAGCUUUAUACGAGUAAUUGUGGUUGCCUUCAAAAAUAGGAAACUACAUUACCCCAAUCAGAACUCUGAUUAUCAUAGCAAGAAUGGUUCAGGACCUCAAGUUCCAACGGACAAAUUGAGAUUCUUAAACAAAGCUUGCAUCAUUAGAAGUCCUGAAGAUGUUAAGCCAAAUGGAGUUGCAGCCAAUCCGUGGAACCUUUGCACAGUAGAGCAAGUUGAGGAGCUAAAAUCCCUCAUUAGAGUAGUGCCAUUGUGGUCAACAGGGAUCAUGAUAUCAAUAAAUUUGAGCCAGAGUUCGUUCCCUCUACUACAAGCUCAAUCUAUGAAUAGACAUCUAAGUAAAGGAUUCCAAAUUCCAGCAGGGUCAUUUGGGAUGUUUUUGAUGAUUGCGUUAACAAUUUGGGUAUUUCUCUAUGACCGCGUGAUGCUUCCAUUGGCAUCGAAGAUCAGAGGAAGACCAGUUCGUCUAAAACCUAUAGUUAGAAUGGGACUUGGCAUAUUCGUCUCUUGCAUGUCCAUGUUAGUAUCUGGUAUUAUCGAACAUAUUCGACGAAGAAGAGCAAUCAAUCAAGGGCUGUUGAACAACUCGCAGGGGUUGGUGGAGAUGUCAGCAUUGUGGCUCAUUAUACCAAACAGUUUAAAUGGUAUAGCGGAGGCAUUAAACGCGAUUGGCGCCACAGAGUUCUAUUAUUCAGAGCUGCCAAAGAGUAUGUCAAGUAUUGCAUCAGCUCUUUUAGGACUGGGAAUGGCAGUUGCAAAUCUUUUAGCAAGUGUGAUUUUGAGUGCUGUGGAUAAGUACACCAAAGGAAAAGGAAAAGAAAGUUGGAUUUCAAGCAAUAUCAACAAGGGACACUAUGAGUACUACUACUGGCUUCUUGCUCUAUUAACGGCUUUUAAUCUGCUUUAUUUUAUGGCUUGUUGCUGGCAAUAUGGACCUUCUGUUGAUGUUGACAUCACUAUGAGAAUGAUGGAACCUAGCGACGAUGAGAAUGACGAUGACGCCGAAGAUGAUUUGCCUCAGAAGAAAAAAUCUACACCUGACUUGAAUUCCUGCUAGGCUACAUCUCUUGUUGAUACAUAGUAUUUAUACGGAAUUGCUAUUGCAUUUUUAGCUACUAAUAGUAUAGUAUAUUAUAUAGUCCACUUUCCCUAAUUCCUUCUUUUCAGCCCCCAAAUAUGCAAAACAUGAUUUGAGCAGUAUGCUUAUUUUAUUUAUUUAACUAAAAAGUCAAAAUAUAAAAAACAGAAACUAAUUAAAACUGAUUAUGAUAAAAUAAUAUAAACCAUAAAUCGCAAAUUGAUAAUUAUAAAAAAAGCCGCCUUAACUAAAAUAUCUCAUUAUUUGUGAAGAGAUGAAUCUCCAAUAAAUAUUUUGUUAUUUUCCUCAAUUCUGUAGAGAUGCACUUGCAGCCUGCAGGCAAAAGUUUUAUGCUUUAUUUUGUCACACUACCAAAUAAUAUGACAAAAGUUUUUAUUAAGUUUUAAUAUACUUGUCAUUGUCUUUUGAUUGAGAAUAGUGGUUAAGAAAACAGAUCAUUUGAAGUACUGCAGGGCUGGGGUGGGUGGAGGAGUUGGGUUAUUGGGUAGUGGAUGGGGCAGAGUAAGGAAAAAAGAAUAAUUUCUUAAAAAAUUAUUUUUUAAAAUCUUUAAUUGUUAAAUUUUAACAUUUACUUAUGUAAUUUUUUAGUUACGCAGAAAAUUCCAAUAUACACUAACUCGUGAGUGGAUGACACGCUAAACCCAUUAGUUUUUGUUUUUAUUACCUUUUCAAUUUGUUCCAAUUGGUUAUGAUUUAAAAUUAUUAUCUCUUGUAUUAAGGUUAAUCAAAAACACAGAACUAGAAAUAAAAUGAAAUAGAAAAAAAUCUUUUAAUUCGAGCUCACAGAAAUUAUCGUGUUUUUUUAAGAAAUUUAAUUUCCUCAUUAUAUCUGAGGUUGCAGAUUAAUUUCUUCAAAGAUAAAAUUUAUGAACCUGUUAGAGAAGUAGCGGUACCUCAAACUUUAAUAACUUCAGCGAAUGUAAGAACAAUAACACGCACACACAGACUCAGUUGAUUGACAAUUUGUUUAUGAGAGAAAAUGUAUGCAGAGAGGACAAAAUUUCAGUGUUUGAAAAACGAAAAAGACUUCCUUUUUAUAGCUAUUUUCAGCAAGAAAAACGUGUUUGUCUAGACAAAUCUGUUUAGACCCAUUUUUUUCCCCAGAAAGUUGUGUCUUUUGGAAAAAAUAAAGACUUUUCGGAAAGAUGUGUCUUUUGGGAAGAAAUAAAUAUUUUUCGAAAAUCAGAUUGUUAUUACUGUAACAUGCGAAUUUCAAAUAAAGUUUGUUGCGCCAAAAAUUAAUUAUGUUAUUUAACUAACUUUCUGGAGUAAUUUAUAAGAGAAAAGAAAUUGAUCUUAACAAGAUUUAUUCGAUUAACAGAACUGAUGGAAUAAAUUAUGACAAAAAUAUUUCCAAUCAAAUCAUUUGGCAAAUUCAAAUCCAAGCAACAACAAUUUUUCUUAACCCUUUAAGAAGUAAAUGAAGUGUUUUCUAGUAUAAGAAUAACAAUUUUCUUUCUUCUAUCAAUAUGAGAGAAAUGACUGUAUAUUUGCACUUUGCAAAUUACUUUUCAUUUUCCCUCCAAAAUUGGUUCUCUCACUUUUUCAUGUUUUUCUUCUCUUUUCCCAUUCACAUUUUGCUUAACCCACCAAAAUCAAAUCGAAUUGUAAUCUGAAUCAAAUCGAUUAAAAAAUUAAUAUUUAAUUUGGUUUUGAUUUUAUUAAAAGCAGUCGCAAAAAUAACGAAUCCCAAAUCGAUAAAUUAGAUAUAUAAAAUUUAUAUUAUUUAUAUAUUAUUCAUAAUAAAAGAUAAAUUUUUGGUUAAAUUUUAAUCAAAUCAAGUAUUGAAAAAAUUACUGAAAUAUACAUCUUAUGUUUUUCUUGUUUUUAAUAUCCCUUUCAUUUUCUAUAACCUCUAAAAUUUCUUAUUUCUUUAAUGCAUCCGAGUAACAUAUUAAUGUGUUUAAGUCGGUAUUUAAUGUAUCCGACCUUCAUAUUAUGUUUCUGGUUUAUUUUAUAAUGUAUUCGAGCUAGUUUUUAAUGUAUCCAUGUUACAUAUUAUGUAUUCGAUUUAUGUUAUAAUGUAUCCGAGAUACUCUUUAAUGUAUUCGAGCUACAUAUUAAUAUAUCCGAUUUGUGUUACUUUUUAAUGUAAUUACAAACUAAAUAGGGAUAGAUUGUGAUUUAAUAUUAAAACUAUGUGAUUCCUAAAGUACACAUCUUAUGUUUCCAUUAUUUCCAAUAUCUUCUUCUAUUUCUAAAAACCUUUAAAAUCCUUAUUUUUUUUAAUGUAUAUGAGUUAUUUAUUAAUGUAUUCAAGACAAUAUUUAAUGUAUCCGAGCUACAUAUUAUGCAUCCAUUUUAUUCUAUAAUGUAUCCGGGCUUGUUUUUAAUGGAUCUAAGCUACAUAUUAGGUAUUUGGGCUAAUUUUUAAUGUAUCCAAGCCACAUGUUAUGUAUUCAGUUUAUGUUAUAAUGUAUCCGAGCUAUAUAUUAAUGUAUCUGAUUUGUGUUACUUUUUAAGGGAUAAUGUAAUUACAAACUAAAAAAAAGUAAUUACAUUUCAUAUUAAAAUUAUGUGAUUCCUAAAACUUAUCCUUAAGUAUUUAACUUUACAUUUUCUAAAGCCCACCACUAAAAAUUUCAGCCCAACUACUACAAUCCACGUCAAAAUGGGGACUGAGACGAACAAAAUACAUUUGUGUUUGUAUAAAAGCGGGAGAGACGAGAAAGAACAAGAGUCGCGAGCGAAAUUCACCAGGAGAGAGGCGAAAUAAAAACAAUUUGAUAUGGGGUACAACUAAAAUCACACUAUAUUUAUAGCAUUGAAUUUGAAUUACUCCCUCUGCGCGGAAUUGUUUGUCACGUUGCGCUUAUCGAAAGUCAAUUUGACUAAUUUUAAAGGUAAAUUAGAUCACAUUAAUUUGAUACUUUAAACAAAAAAAUUAGAUACUCUAAAACUACAUGAAAAGUAUUAUAAAUUACAAUUUUUUUCAUAUUAAUAUGAUGAAAAAAUACAUCUUAAAAUGUUAGUCAAAGUUUUUAUAGUUUGACUCUAAAAAUAGAAACCAUGACAAAUAAUUCCGAAUAAAGAGAAUGAUAAUUUACUAUUAUAUUUAAUUUUUUCUUAAAUUUAUUAUAUUUAAAGGCGAUGAAAUAAAAUUAAAUUUGUGGAGUAAUAGGAAAUGGUCGGAGCUUCAAGUUAAGGAGCUAUUUGAGGAAUUAAUUAAAUUUAGGUCAACUGUUUAGACAACUAUUUAUUACUUUUUUAUUCUUUUUAUUAAUGGCAACGCGGGUUGAGUAAAGGUCCUAAAUAAUUUUGUGUGAUUUAGAACGAAGUUUAAAAAAGAAAGAAAAUUUUUUAACAAUUUAUUUUUAAAUUAAAUAUAUAAAAAUAUCUUUUAAUCUUAUAAUUUUAAAUAUAUUAUGUGAAAAUAGAGGUAAUAUAUACUGACACGUGCCUUUUUCUUGCACUUGAGAAAAAGCAGGCGCAUCAACAGAUAUUAUCUUUUUCAUCAUUUUUCUCCAUUUUAUUUCUCCUUUGAUACUCAAUUCCUGUUGAUUACUCAUCUCCAGUAAGUGAGAAGAUGAAGGAAGAGAUAGCAGAGUAUGUUCCUUUAUCUCAAAUGGAGGAUUCAGAGAAGCAAAAUUCUUCAAUUAAAAGUAGAAAAAAGGGUGGAUUAAUUACCAUGCCUUUUAUCAUAGGUAUAUACUGAACUAUUUCAAUUUUUUUUUUGUUUUGUUUUGUAAUUAAGUAAAGUUUUAUUUUGAAUCAUUUCAGCAAAUGAGGCACUGGAGAAUGUGGCGAGCUAUGGGCUUUUACCAAAUAUGACAUUUUAUCUGAUGAGAGAAUACAGGAUGGACAUUACUGCAACUCAAAAUCUUCUAUUUUUCUGGUCAGCUGCUACCAAUUUUUUGCCUAUUGUUGGAGCUGUUGUUGCUGAUUCCUAUUUAGGUCGGUUCCUCACUAUUGGCCUUGGUUCCAUCUUCAGUUUCAUGGUAACUUACUGUUAACUUAAAACUAAUCUGUUGCUAAUUAGUGUUUUAUAGUUUCCGAUUUCAUCUUUCUUCUCGCUCAGGUCGAGGUCACCAAUUAUUAUGUCUCUGUCUGCGUGAUCUGUAUGAUCGACAGAUCAUUGUAGAAUCAACCAGCGCGAUGCUAUAGGUUUGUUGUAAUUUUAGUGUAUUUUUGCGAGUGCGCACCUGAAACCUAGUAAAUGAUUUUGGAAUUUUAUCAAUUAAUCAUAGUAAAAUGGCUCUGUCAAUUAUCUUUUUGGGGUAAUAACAGAUUAGUUUUACCAAAGAGCCAUGUAAGUACAAAGAAAAUGCAAAUGUGGACAGCCCCAGCCUUGCAGAUCAACCCAUUCAACCAAUUUAAAUACCUAUGGAUAGUAAUCUAGACUACACAAAGCACUAACUAGUUUUGCCUUCCUCCCUCUUCUAAUGGGAAUUUUCUGGACAAUAUUUCGUAUAAGAACACCAACUUAAUUACCUAAUUUUAACACUUGAAUGCCCUGUUGUUGCAGGGAACACUAGUGUUGUGGUUAACAGCAAUGAUUCCAAAAGCAAGACCUCCGCCUUGUAAUCAAUCAGGACAGGUUUGUAAAUCUACAACGACAUCACAAUACAUGCUUUUGAUUUUCUCGUUUCUGCUCAUGUCAAUUGGUGCUGGAGGUAUAAGAUCGUCUUCUUCAGCCUUUGGUGCUAACCAGUUAGACAAGGGAGAUAGUAAUCCCAACAAGUAUACGAUGUUAGAAAGCUUCUUUACCUGGUAUUAUACUUUAUCCAUAGCUUCUGUCCUGAUUGCCCUUACGGGCAUCGUUUACCUACAAGACAGACUCGGGUGGAAAAUAGGUUUUGGAGUUUCUGCCAUCCUCAUGUUCUUAUCCACACUGUUUUUUUACAUUGCCUCUCCAUUCUAUAUCAAGCCAAAGGUUCGCUCAAACGUGUUUGCCAGCUUUAUACAAGUAAUUUUCGUUGCCUGCAAGAAUAGGAAACUCCAGUACCCCAUUCAUAUCUCUGAUUACCAUCACAAGAAUGGUUCUGGACCUACAGAGAAAUUGAGAUUCUUAAACAAAGCUUGCAUCAUUAAAAACCCUGAAGAUGUUAAGCCAAAUGGAGUUGCAGCCAAUAAAUGGAACCUUUGCACAGUGGAGCAAGUUGAGGAGCUAAAAGCCCUCAUUAGAGUCUUGCCAUUGUGGUCAACGGGGAUCAUUAUAUCAAUAAACAUGAGCCAAAGUUCAUUCCCUCUACUACAAGCUCAAUCCAUGGAUAGACAUCUAACUAAAGGAUUUGAAAUUCCAGCAGGAUCAUUUGGGAUGUUUUCGUUGAUUGCUUUAACACUUUGGGUUUUUCUGUAUGACCGCAUGAUGCUUCCGUUGGCAUCGAAGAUCAAAGGAAGACCAGUUCGUCUAAAACCUAUAGUCAGAAUGGGACUUGGCAUAUUUAUCUCUUGCAUGUCCGUGGUAGUCUCUGGUAUUAUCGAACAUGUUCGACGAAUAAAAGCAAUCAAUCAAGGGCUGUUGAACAACUCGCAGGGUUUGGUGGAGAUGUCAUCAUUGUGGCUCAUUAUACCAAACAGUUUAAACGGGAUAGCAGAGGCAUUCAGUGCGAUCGGCUCCACAGAGUUCUAUUAUUCGGAGUUACCAAGGAGUAUGUCAAGUAUUGCAUCAGCUCUUUUAGGACUGGGAAUGGCAGUGGCAUAUCUUUUAGCAAGUGUGAUUCUGAGUGCUGUGGAUAAGUACACCGAAGGGGAAGGAAAAGAAAGUUGGGUUUCAAGUAAUAUCAACAAGGGACACUAUGAGUAUUACUACUGGCUUCUUGCUCUAUUAACAGCUUUCAAUCUGAUUUAUUUUAUGGCUUGUUGCUGGCAAUAUGGACCAUCUGUUGAUGUUGACAUCACUAUGAGAAUGAUGGAACCUAGCGACGAUGAGAAUGACGAUGACGACGAAGAUGAUUUGCCUCAGAAGAAAAAAUCUACACCUGACUUGAAUUCCUGCUAGGAUACUUCUUUUGUUGAUACAUAGUAGUACUAGUAUUUAUACGGAAUUGGUAUUACAUUUUUAGCUACUAAUAGUAUAGUAUAUUAUAUACUCCUCUUUCCCUAAUUCCUUCUUUUCAGCCCCAAAAAUAUGUAGCAUGAUUUGAGCAGUAUGCUUGUUUAAUUUAUUUAACUAAAAGAAUAAAAAAAAAUAAAAAAAAUACUAACUCAAACUGAUUAUGAUCAAAUAAUUGAUAAUUAUUUAAGUCGAAUCGUUAAAAAUCCGCCUUAACCAAAAUACCUCAUUAUUCGUGAAGAGAUUAAUCUCAAAUAAACAAUUCGUUUUUUUUCUCAAUCCUGUAGAGAUUGCACUUGUAGGCAAGAAGUUUAUUUCUUUAUUUUUAUCACACUACAAAAUAAUAGAGUAUGACAAAAGUUUAGUAAGUUUUAAUAUACUAAUCAUUAUCUUUUGAUAAUAGAGGUUAAAAAAACAGAUCAUUAGAAGUAGUAGAGGGCUGGGGUGGGUGGUGGAGUUGGGUUAUACCGUAGUGGAUGAGGCAGAGAAAGGGAAAAAAUUAAUUUCUUAAAAAUUGGUAAAUCGCUAAAAAAAAAAUUAACGUAAAAUCGCUGUUUUUGCAGUGAUUUAUUUCCCUAGCGAUUUUAUCGUUUAAUUUUUUAAAAAAAUUGCAUAUACCGUUUUGAAAUUUUUGUUAAUAUUUUCCACCUUUAGGCUCCGGACUCUAUUUUCGCCACUCUCCUUGGUGGAAUCUUGCUCACCUCUCUCGCUUUUUAUGCAAAUACAAAUGUAUAAAUUGUGUUUGUGUUUGUAUAAAGCAAAGGAAAAUUGUAUAAAUACAUAUAUUUUCGUUCUCCUCUUUCCUCUCUCAUAGAUCCCUAAUCUCGUUGUGUUUCUGUUUGUAUAAAGCGAAAGAAAAUUGUAUAUACACAUGCAAAUACAUAUAUUUUCAUCCUAAACACUUAUAAUUAUACAAUAAAAAUACUCCUCAACCCAGUUUCUUUUGACUUUCUCUCUUUUUCGUUUCUCUCUUUCUCAUUUUAUACAAUUCGAUUCAAUUGUAUAUUCCUUGUCCAAUCUCUUUUGUCUUUCUCUCUUUCUCAUUUUAUACAAAUUCAAAUUGUAUAUAAUCAUCUUAUACACUUAUAAUAUACAAUACAAAUAUUUUCUGUCCAAGUCUCUUUUGCCUUUCUCUCAUUCUCUUUAAAUACAAAUUUAAAUUAUAUACAAUUUUUCUUUUUCUCAUUUUAUAUAAUUCACUUUAACUGGAUAUGCAUAGCCAAUUAUACAUAUAUAGAUUUACUAUAGAACACAAUUAUAUAAACAUUAUUAUAAUAUACAAAUAUAAAUUUUAUAUUUAUUAUAAAUAAAAAUUGGCUUAUUUUUUUUUCUUUUAUUACAAGUUGAGAAUAGACAUUGGGUAUUAUUAGCAAGGAAAAUAAGGAGUAAUAUCUUAUUGUUUUAACCUGAGAACGUGUGUCGUGUGGGAUGGUAGGUACCAGCCAGGAAAAGAAAUGCAACUUAUAAUAUCGGAUGAGAUUACUUCUUUUUAAAUUAGACAUUUACUCAAUAUAAAUUUAAAUUAAUAUAUAUAUAUAUAUAUAUAUAUAUAUAUAUAUAUAUAUAUAUAUAUAUACUGAAUCUAUCAACAAAAUCCUCUUUUCUCAAUCUGUUUAUUUUGGUCAAUGGCACAAAUUAGAAUAAUUCUACUUUCUUAUUUCUUAUAUAUUAUUUGCUUUUCUUGCUUCUAUAUUAUAAUAUAUAAUAUAUAAUAUAUAAUAUAUAAUAUAUAAGAGGAAUUUUAUUUUCUUAUUUCUUAUACGUAUACAAUAUAUAUCUUGAAGAGGAAACGAGAGAAGCGUAGAAUUAGAGGUGUUCGUGGUUCGAUUUGAAUUGGUUAUUAAUUAAAAUAAAAAUCAAAUCAAUUUAGUUGAAUUUUUAAAUUCUAAAACCAAAUCAAACCAGAUGAAAAAAAUAACCAUCGAUUUAUGUAUUGUCUGUUUGGUUCGAUUUUCAGGUUUAUACGGUUUGAAAGUUAAUUUUCUGAGGGCAUAUGUAUCUCGAUAGACACAAACACCAAAUAAAUGAAUAAUCUACAGAAAAGUUAAUGUCGGUUCAGUCAAGUAAUUAAACAAUAUUAGAGUUAUCAUUACACGAACAAAGUGAUUCAUUUAAGAGAAUGUGUGACUAUUUAUGUGAAGUACAGUAAAUAAUGAAUAUAAUAGAUUUUGAUGGACCUGGGUUGAAAAUUGUUAUACUCUGGCUAAAGUGUUGAUCUUGAAAAAAUGGUAAAAAAUUAAAGACUCAAGUUAAUUAAAAUUUAACAAAAUAUUUUUAAUUUAAUAAUUAAUAAUAUAUAAAUAAUUAUAAAAUUUAUAUUUCUAAUUUAUCAAUUCGAUUUGGUUAUUUUAGUAAAAUCAAAAUCAAACCAAAUAAUAUCGAUUUCUAAAAUUUUAAAACUAAAUCUAACCAUACAUCAAAUAUUAAUUUUUUUAAAUCAAUUUAAUUCGAAUUAUGAUUUGAUUUGAUUGUUAAUCAUAACCAUGAACAGACCUAUCUAAAAUCAAGAGACUAUUUUGGGAAUUUAUGAGAUUUGUGGGCCUAUAGAAUUUUUUAUGAGGUUAAGAAAAAGUCCAAACUAGUUAAAUUUUCAAUUAUACUAAAUUAGUACAAUACAUUAUUAAUAACUUUAAUUAUUGAUUGAAAAUUUACUUUAACUUUAGAAAUAUUACGUAUGUCAUUUAAAUAAGGAAAGAUGAAUAACAUUAAUUAUUUGAAAUUACAUAAAAUACAUCAUAAAUUAUAAUAAUUAACAAUUUAAAAUAUUUUUAAAAAUGCAUUAAGACUUCGAUUGACUUUCAAAUUUUUACAUGUUACAUAAAUUGACACAAUAACAUACAUUAUUUGAAUUACUAUAAAUUAUAAUACCUAACCACUUAUAAUAUUUCAAAAUCAUGAGUGUGUUUGGUAUGAAGGAAAACAUUUUCUGGAAAAUGUUUUCCAAUUUUCUCAUGUUUGGUUGGGACAAAAGUUUUGGAAAAUGUUUUCCAAAUCAACUCAUUUUCCUCAAAAUUAAGGAAAAUGACUUCCCUUCAAAAAUUAAGGAAAACAUUUUCCAAAACUCUUAUCCAAUUUCAAAUUACAUUUUUUGGGGGAAAAACAUUAAUUUAAAAAAAAAUAUUUUCAAUUUCAAAAUUUUAUUUUUCACCCGAUCUCUGAGCACCCUCCCCCCUCCCCCAACACCACCCCCUCCCCAAAAAAUUAAUUUUGCUUUUAAAAAUAUUUUCAACUCCAAAAUUUUAUUUUGAAACUCCUACCUCCCCCCCCUCCGGCCAGCCCCCCUACCCACCCCUACCAGCCCCCUCACCCUCACCCUCACCCUCACCCCCAACCUUUCAAAAAAUUGAUUUUGUUUUUUAAAAAUACUAUCAACUUCAAAAUUUUGUUUUUUCACUCCUACCCCCUCCCUCUGCCCCCCCAACUAAUCCCCACCCCCUAUCACCACCACCCCAAAAAAAUUGUUUUUAAAAAAUAUUUUCAAUUUCAUAAAUUAUUUUGUAUUCUAGUAAAAAUAAAAGAUGUUCCUCAAAAAAAAAAUCAUUCAUAAAUCAAACACUAAAAAUCAUUUUCAAAAAAUGUUUUCUACUCACCAACCAAACAUGAGAAAAUAAGUCCAAAAUCAACUUGUUUGCCAGGAAAACAUUUUCCUUCAUACUAAACACACCCCAUGUCAAAUUAUCUAAUAUAAUAUAAUACUAAAUGGGAGAAUAUAUAGAUGAGAUUAGUUAUGAUGGGACAAGCUAUGUUGAAAUUUAUUUUUAUUGUUUAUUUAAUUUGUUGUAUUUGAAAAAAUAUAUCUUGCAUAAAUUUUAAGAAUUUUAUAAAAAUACUCUUCGUGAAUGUAAAAGUAAUGAUUAUAAUGUAAAAGUAAUGAUUAUAAAUAAGAUUUACUGAAAUAUUCUUAUCAUUUACUUAUUAUAUUUUAAAAUUAUUAUAUUGUCUAAAUUAACAAAGUAAUAAUUUAUCUGGAUACUAAUUAUUAAUUUUAAAGUACUUACCAACAAAAUACUCUAAUAAAUUGAGUGACAUUAUUAUUUAAACUUUAACGGCAAGCGACCCCUAAUAGGAGUAUUGGAGUAAUAUAUAUUCACACAUGCCUUUUUCUUGCAUUUAAAAAAAAGCAGGUGCAUCCACUUCCCUAUUAUUAUUAUUAUUAUUAAUUAUUAUUAUUAUUAUUAUUAAUAAUAAUAAUAAUAAUAUAGAACGAACAGAUUUUAAAAAUUUUCAUCAUUUUAUUAUCCUCAAUUCCUCUGAUUACUAACCUUCAGUAAUAUAACUUUUAACUUAUACGUUCCCAUUUCAUCUUCUUCUUGUUCGUGAUUUACCGAUUCUUAAAAGUAUUUAUUACUAAUCUCAGCACUAUUAAUUUCUGCAUAACUAAAUAUUUUUGAAAGGAAUAAAAACUUUAAUGAGUAAAUUAAUUAUGAAAUUUUUUAUCAAUUAAUCUUAAUCAAAUGAUAAACUUAGUAUCUCAAUUAUUAUUUUCAUAAUAGUUGUACCAGGUCAAAAUUGAACAAGCAAUAAGAACAAAUGUGUAUACUAGUUUAGGACUUUCUAUUGUGACAAAUAUUAUAAUUUUCAGGGGAAAAUGUACAAGUACCCCCUCAACCUAUGCCCGAAAUUUCAAAGACACACUUAUACUAUACUAAGGUCCUAUUACCCCCCUAAACUUAUUUUAUAAGUAAUUUUCUACCCCUUUUUAGCUUACGUGGCACUAGUUUGGAAAAAAAGUCAACCAUCGUUGGGCCCACAAGAUAGUGCCACGUAGGCUAAAAAGGGGUAAAAAAUUAUUAAUAAAAUAAGUUCAGGAGGGUAAUAGGACCUUAGUAUAGUAUAAGUGUGUCUCUGAGAUUUCGGACAUAGAUUGAGGGAAUACUUGAGCAUUAUCCCUAAUUUUCAGCUUGGCCAGAGGAUCCAAUGUAGUAUUAAGUUUUGAAAAAUAGUACUGUCCUAAUUAUCCUAAUUUCUGCUAUAAAUAUUAUUUCUAAAUAAAAACUAAUUAAGCCACCAUUUUUUUAAUUAGUAAAGGGAUCCUUGGAACAAUGAUAAAGUUAUCUGUUUCUCUGAUCGGUUGAUUUUUUUUGCAAAUGUGCACCCAAAAAAUGGGUUCAGUUAGUCCUGUUAACUGUGCAGUAAAAUUCAUAUUUGUAUGCUAUGGGAGAGUGGAGAGCGAGAUCAGAGAGAGUGAAGAGUGGGAAACGAAAAUAUAUGUAUAUAACAAUUUUUCUUAAUUUUUACAAAUAAAAGCAGAUUUCAUACACUUGUAUUUGUAUAAAAGUGAGAGGAAGCGAGCGAGAGAUAGGACGAGAGAGGAGAGUGUCGAGCAGAGUUUGAAGAAAAGAGGUGACUGACAUACAAUUUUCUACUGAUCACAAUUAAAUCGAAGGAUGAUUAUAAUAUUUAAUUUAAUUUAUUAAUUCGUCAUUAUAUACAAUUUUCCUUAUAUCAUGUAGUCCACUUACCCUAAUUCCUUCUUUUCAGCCCUCAAUAUAUUCAGCAUGAUUUGAGCAGUAUACUUAUUUAUUUUAUUUAAUUAAAGAGUCAAAAUAUAAAAACUAAAAUUCUAACGGAUUAUAAUCAAAUAAUUGAUAAACUGGCAAUCUAUAUUUUAAUAAUAUGACAAAUGUUUUUUUCUUUAUUUUGUCACACUGCAAAAUAACAUGACAAAAGUUUCAUGUGUUUUUAUAUACUAGUCAUUAUAUUUUGAGAACUUUACAGGUUAAAAGACCAAUCAUUGGAUCAGAAAUUUCACAAAGAGUGUUUAGAAAUUAUAUAUGAAUACAUUUUUUUUGGCUGAAUGAGUAUAUUAAAAUUUUUUGAAAUUAAACUACGUAAUAUACAACAAUUUUUUUUUGAAAAAAAUAAAAGAAAAAAGAUGAAAGACAUCCUAGAAAUUUUAAAAAUUUAACUACAUAAUAUACAAGAAUUUUUUUUAAAAAAAAUACGUCAUAUAUAUGAAAAAUAUUAAAUUAGAAAUUUUAAAAAUUAAACUACAUAAUAUACAAGAACUUUUUUUUGAAAAAAAGUUUGUUAAUACAUGAAAAAAAAUUGAAAAACAGAGGAAAAAGAUGAUAGGUGCCCUAGAAAUUUUAAAAAUUUAACCACGUAAUAUACAUGAAAGUUUUUGAAAAAAAACGUAAUAUACAUGAAAAAUUUUGAAGAAAAAAAGGCUUAAAGUUGCUGUUAGCGAGAUUUGAACACAUAAACUCAUAAAAAUUUGACUCUUUCAAAGUAUCUAAAAUAACUACGCUACAACACCUUGUUAUGUUAAGGAUGUUCAAAAUACAUUAUUUAACCAUUUUAUAUAAUAUUUUAUUUAUAUAUACAAUAUAAUUUUUCGAUAAAGGGGAUCACAGAGUAAGAAUUUAACUUUAAAAGAUUUUUUUUGUUAUCUAUUAUGAGUUAGUAUUUUUUAUGGUUACUCAACUAUAUAUUCUUCUCCAAGAAAAUUACAAUUCUUUUUAUAAUACAGAGAAAACGUGAACAAGAAGAAGAAAUCUAAUUUUAGAAUUAUUUGAUUUGUUACACUUAUAAUUGAAUUCUUGACAAUAAUUUGAAAUGGAAUAGCGUAAUUUAUGUGAUCUUAGUUUGAUUUUCAUUUUUUCCCUUAAUUAUGCAUUAAAUGAAUUAUUGAUGGUAACUUUUUAUUUUUUUUCUUUUUAAAAUCUAGACUAAUUGAUUUCAUAAAAAAAAAAUAUUUAUAACUUAUUAAGUUUUCUUUCUAACAUGAAAAAGUUUUUGGAUAGAUGCUUCCAUUGCUUCAACAUUUUUCCUCUUCGUUCAUUUUAUCGACAGUACAAAAAUUAAUUGAAAACAAAUUUUGAUUCAUAUGUCUUCAUGUGUAUUCCAAUUUUAUUUAAGUAAUACUCAAAAUCGAUAGUAUAAAAAAUAUUUGAACAUUGUUUCAAAAUAAUUUUAAAUUUAUAAAGCGUUUUUGAAAAAAAAAAAAGCUUAAAGAAUAAUUAAUCUCUAAAUAUGAAAAUAUAAUAAUUAAAUUAAAAAAAAUAAAUAUUUCUAAAAAUAAAUUGAUGGUGCUAUUAUUUCUGUCCACUAUCAAUGAAUAUAAAUUAAUCUAUUGAUUUUUCAGCAUUCCCCCCUCAAUAAGUAAAGCAUAUUGGUACAUAAUGUAUCAAUAAUUAUGUAUUCAAAUUUAUGUAAGUUGAAUUGCAAACCAUUUUCAAGGCUAUCAAUCAAAUUGACAAUUUUUAUAAAAAGUCAAAAGGAAAAUUAUAAAUAACUUGUCGAAAACCUCACAUUCUUUCUUUUCUUUUAUACAUGGACUAGAAUCAAUGAAUUCGUACAAGUACGAAUUCAAUAUUUGUCAUUGUAUAUGUCUUUAUUUAUGUGAGUGAUUCAUAAUAUUGUUAAUAUAAUUUUUAAAUAAUAUAUAUUGCUCAUUUAGUCACUUUAUUUCAGUAAUUAUAAAAUUUCAGAAUUUAUUCAUAAUUUAAUACAUAAUUUCAUGUAACUUUUAAAUAAUAUAUAUUUCUCACUCAAUUACAAUUAUAUAGUAUACAUAAAAUUAUGAGAGUUGAUCAAAUUUUUAGUACUAUAUUUUAGCAUAUAUUUACAUAAUUUUUCAAUAAUAUAUGUUGCUUAAUUCUAAUAAAAAUUUAAAUUUUAAAAUUUAUUUUAAUACUUUUUUAAAAGAAAAAUCUUAAAAAUAAAAACAAUUUAAACAAAUAAAAUAUCAAAGGACAAACCGAUCAAUUUUAAUUGAAGAAGAGUGCACGAAAGUAGGUGGACCCAACUUUGUGAUAGGCGAUGAUGCUCGUAGAAGGAAACUUAGAGCCUUUUUAAAUGGACUUAAAAGUUAUCAAAUUGAUUUAAAAAUUAAUUUCUUAUUUAUUAGAGUGUUUAACAAAUAUCAAAUUAACUUAUUUAAAUAAAAAAUAAGUUAUUUUAAUCUAAAAGCUAAGUGGGAAUAUUUCUUUUUCAACUUAAAAGUCAUCUUAUGUUGAUGGUGUAUAUUAUUUUUUUAUCUUUAAUUCUUUUAUUAUUAUUAUUAUUUUUAUUUUAUUUUAUUUUUAUUAUUAUUAUUAUUAUUAUAUUAUUAUUAUUAUUAUUAUUUAUUUUAUUAUUCUUUAUUAUUAUUAUCAUCUAUUAUUAUUGUUAUUUUUUAUUAUUUAUUUUAUCAUUCUUUAUUAUUAUUAUUAUAUAUUAUAUAUCAUUAUAUUAUUAUUAUUAUUAUUUUCAUAUUAUUUUAUUAUUAUUUUUAUUAUUAUUAUAUAUUAUUUAUUUAUUAUUAUUGUUAUUAUUAUCAUAAUUUUUAUUAUUAUUAUUUUCAUAUUGUUAUAUUAUCAUUGUUAUUAUUAUUAUUUAUUAUUGUUAUUUAUAUUUAAUUAUUAUUAUUAUUUAUUUUAUUAUUAUAUAUUAUUAUUAUUAAUAUUUUUUUAUUUUAUUAUUCUUUAUUAUUAUUAUAUAUUAUUAUUAUUAUUAUAUAUUUUCAUAUUAUUUUAUUAUUAUUAAUAUUUUUUUCAUAUUAUUUUAUUAUUAUUAUAUAUUAUUAUUAUUAUUAAAUUAAUCAACUUUAUUAUGUUAACAACUUUAAAGGUAUUUCAGACAUUUUGAUUAAAAAAAGUAUUUACCAACACUUAUUUGUCAAACACAUCAGCGACUCUUUUUUAACUUUAGCACUUUUAUCUAAAUACAUAUCUAUUUUUUUUAAAUAAAUUCCAACACUUUCAAAAAUACUUUUUAAAAAUUACUUUUUGUAAAUCUAUCUCGGCUCUUAGUUCCUCUCUUUAUAAAUCAGGAAACUUCACCUUUAGCUCCUCCGUAUUUCCUCUUCUAAGUAGUAAAACUUAAAAUAGAUUCAUUUACAAUUUCAAGUGUAUGAUUUACUGAUUCUUGAAAAAGAUAAAAUCUCUUUAAUGAGUAAAUUAGUUUUGAAAUUUAAUCAAUUAAUCAUGGUAAAAUAAUAAUAUAACUUAUUAUCUUCUUAAUAGUUAUACUAAGUCAAAAUUUUAAGGCAUGUACUAGUUUAGAACUUUCUAAUCGUGAUUCGUAACAAAUAUUAUAACUUUCAGCUUGGGUUAUUACAGUCAGAGGAUCCAGUAUUCAGUUUUGAAAAAUAGUAAUGUCCUUAUCAUCCUAAUUGCUGCUACAAAUAUUAAUUUCUAAAUAGCAGCUAAUUAAACAUUAUUUCAUUAAUUAAUAUAGAAACACUUGAAUGCUCUGUUGUUGCACGGAACACUAGUGUCUCGUUUUUAAUAAUAAUAGGUUAUAAGUUAUUAUUUUUUAAUAAAUAGUGAAUACUAUUUGUAGAAUAAGUAAAUUUUAUAUGAAAAUAAAGGAAUUAUUAGAAGAAAUUUGACAUAUUUAGAGUAUUAUAUCUCAUGAAAAAUAAUUUUAAAUAAGAAUAAUUAUAUUAUCAAUUGCAAACUAGAAGAAAAUUAAUUAUAUAAAAGUUUUUAACGAUUCAAAUUUACGACCCCGUUUGAUUUUUACUUUAGACCUCUAAUAUAUUUGAACCACUCCUGACUAGUGUCAGCGAUUAACAACACCUCUAGUUUGGGUUUUUCUAUAUGACCAAGUGAUGCUUCCAUUGGAUGAAGGAAGUAUUAUCCUAUAGUUUACGUUAUUCUUUUUUUACAAAAAAGAAGCUUCGUUUGAAGGUUCUAUUUUAUACAAUCCAAUUCUGUUAUUUUGUUUUCCUUUAUUCUGGAGUGAAGCCUUGCAAUGAAUCAUUUGAAUUCUUAUUGUAGAAUUUGUCGCUUCUCUUUUCUCACGUGAAUGUAUAGGUAAAGAAUUUUAAGAGUCAAUCAAAUAUUUAAUUUUUAAAAUCAAAUAAUAUAUAUUUACUUAUUUUAUCUUAUUUUAUGUGAUACAGAUGGAUCUUUAAGAAUCAAUUAAUUUUUUUUUAUAAACAAUCAUUUUAAUGUAUUUUUUUUAAAAAAAUAUUUUAAAUUAUCAAUCAUCAUAAUUUAUAACAUUUUUUACAUAAUCUUUUAAAUAUAUAAAAAAUUUAAAUAUAAAACAAAUGAAUUAAGACGAAAGAAAAAAAAAAUUGAAUAUAGAAAAGUGUCAGCAAAACAUGUCGAGCAUGACCGGUCUAAUUAUCCCACUUGUAUAUUAUUAGUAGGGGUUAAGAGGGGAUUUCAUUUUCUUAAUUCUUAUAAGUAUAGGUAUAUUUUUAUAUAUAUCUUAUCUUAAAGAAAAAAAUGAGAGAAUCUUAAAUUCAAAGAGAUUGUUUUGGAAUUUGUUAAAUUUGUAGGCAAAUUGAAUUUCGUGAUGUCUUUGAAUGGUAGUUGCCUAUUGUUUUUUCUUUUCAUUAAUGGCCAUGUGGGGUUGAGAAAAAGUCCUAAUAAAUUAAUUUUCAUCAAUUAUAAUAAUGAGUACAAUACAUUAUUAAUAACUUCAAAUAUUUGAUUGAAAAAUUAGUUAACUUUUGGAAUAUUACUUAUGCCAAUUAAAAUCAAGAAAGAUAGUUAAUAUUAAUUAUUUGGAAUAAAAGUAAAAUGCAUUAUAAAUGAUAAAAUUUACAAUUUAAAAUGUUAAAACUUUAUUUGAGUCUCAAAUUUUUAUAUGUAUCACAUAAAUAAAGACGGACAUAUUACGUCAAAAAUAUUAUAAAUUACAAUACUCAAUAAUUUAAAAUAUUUUAAAAUCAGAAAGAGAUUUGGUUAACCCUCUUAAUUUUAUAGAUGUCAUGCUAUAGUGUCUAAUCUAAUAUAAUACUAGGUUUAAGUUAUCGACGACUACUUAAAGUUGAAGACAUAUUUUAUUUGGACAUAUCAACUGAAUCUUGUACUUAGGGUGUUAAGAAUGAAUCCAAACAUAGGUAAUCCGUCGAGAAUUUUAAUGGUUGGACUCAAAAUAAUUUGAAUUUGCUACAAUCUCAACUCAUUCAAGCCUAAAGCCUAAAUCAUUUUAAGAGAGUCCUCGAUUGAGCUCAAUAUAAUCUCCAAUUUUAACCAAUUUUAAAACUUUUUGCUAAGAUAUGUUCAUAUAUUAAAUGUAUGAAUUAUUAUCUAAUUAACAUUUUAGGAUUUAUCUAUCCAUUCGUUAUUUUUCAAAAAAAAAAUCUUGAGCGAAAAUUUGAAUUGUGAUUAUAAGAUAUCAAUAUGUUAAAAUUAUUAAAAUCAAUCGGAUCAAAUAGGUGGAUCAAGACCCAAUCCGUUUUAAGCCCAUUUGAGCACAAAAUAAACUUGGGCGAUCGAUUUAUUCAUUUUAAUAUCUCUAAUUUCAACUUAACCUGCCCAUUUGACACCCCUGUUCGAACCUAUAGAACACUUUAUUUGUUUAUGAAUCAUUCUUCUUAGACACAAAAUGUUAGUAUAAUUAAUAAAAGAGUAUUCCGUACUCUUUGAGUACGUAUAGCAAUUAAAAUUAAGUUCUUUAUUUUUUUUAUUUUCCAGCUUAUACACUUCAAACAAUAUUAAAAAACAGAAGAAUAAAAAAUAAGAAAUAAAUUUUCUUCACUGAAGGUCUCUCUCUUUCUCUCAUCCUUUAUGAUUCUUCUUUUGCUUUUUUUUUUUUUUUUUUUCAAAAUUGCUAUUAUAUAGAUCUAAAUCUCAAAUAUUCUAGCAAAAUUUCAUUUUUUUCUGAUAAAAAUAAUAUAACUUGGUUAUUUUCUUAGGCAAAAAGUGUCGUUUUUAUAUAUAAUUAUGAUGAUAAAUGAUUAUUAGCGGAUAGAAAAUAAAGGCAUAAUGGGUGAAAAUCUUUGAAAGGGUAGCAGAUUUUGACGAAGAAGAAGGGGCAGGGGGGUUGUUGAUUGAAAAUAAUUUUUUUCUUUUAAAUUCUUUUUUAAUUGUCACGUGUUAUUAUUUUAUUAGUCUAUCUUGUUAAGUAUUUGUCUUUGAGACGCGCACAUUUGUAUUUGAAUAUAUUUUUAUUUUGUGUUUAAUAAAUAUAAAUUUGUUAAAAUUAAAGUAUUCAAUCGAUACAAGCCAAGUUAAGGUGUAUAACUGAAAUAUGCGAAUAAUUUUAAAGGGUAACAUAUGACUUAAGCCAUAAUACUAGACAAAAAGAGAUAUAGAUGAGAUUAAUUAUAAUGAGAUAGAUUAUGAUGAGAUUAAUUAGUUUGCGAGAUUUUUUUUUACAAAGUGUUUGAUUUGUUUUAUUUAAAAUAAUAUGUAUUACAUAAAUUUUAAAAACGAUUUAUAUGUUUAAAAAAUCCAUCACGAAUGUGAAAAUAGUCAUGUAUGAAAAGAGUUUAAUGAGAUACUUUUGUCUAUUUAUUGUAUUCCAAGAUAAGUUUGUAGAUUUUGAAAUUUUAUAAUACCCUACAAAACGUGUUCAAUUUGAGUUGAGACUUUACAAGGUGUGUUCAAUUUCAAUUAGAAUUCUCGGAGGCUACUCAACUCUAAACCUUAAUUCAUUACCUCUAUAUAAAUGGUACAUUUCUUUAAAAAGACAUCUCAAAAAUUUCAUAAAGAAAUCAAAAUCUCAAAAAUUUCAUAAAUAAAUUGUGAAUAUCUCAUAUUUUACAAAUUCAUCGAAUAUUCAUAAAGAUAUCAAAUGCAAAUCAUAUUAAAUAGGUCACUAACGCCCAUUGAUUUAUGAAUAUCAAGUCCAAAUCAUACUAAUUUGAGAAAUAUGCAACUAAUGGCCCUCGAAGUAUGUAGAUGAAGUCCAAAUCAUUCUAGUUUGAGAAAUACACCAGUAACGACCUGCAAAUUAUGUAGAUCAAGUCCAAAUCAUCCGCAAAUUAUGUAGAUCAAGUCAAAAUCAUCCUAGGUCGAGAAAUACGUUACAAACAACCUACGAUUUAUGGAGAAACAUCAUAUGAGAAAAGAAUUAAGGGAUAAACGAAAUUUCACCUGCAAUCUUGAUGAAUAAAAUUAUGUUUCUUCCUAUUUUUUUUGGUGAUUUUAAUUUAUUUCUAUCACUUUAAAAUUUAUUGCAUACAAAGUCAUCUCGAGGUCACUACACCAUCCAAGUAAAAGAAUAACUUAUUUUGAUAUUAAUUAUUAAUCUCGAAAUAAGUUAUCUCAAAUUAACAAUAUUCCCUCCGUUUCAAAAAAGAUAGCCUAGUUUGACUUGGAACGUUAAGAAAAAAAAAGAAUUUUUAAUCUUGCGAUUCUAAAUUAAAAUUAUGUCAAAUGUAGAAACCGAGGAAAUAUUAUUUAAUCAUAGGACUAUUUGGUGUCACCUCAUGACCCCUGAUAGGAGUUACAUAUAUUGAUACAUGCCUUUUUUCUUUGCAUUUGAUAAAAUGCAGGUGCUUCUACCCCAUAAUUAUUUUGUGUCUGUAGAACCAAACAAAAAUUUUAAUCAUUUUGAUCCUCAAUUCCUAAUCUCCAGUAAGUGAAGGAAGAGAUGGCAGAGUAUGUUCCUUUAUCUCAAAUGGAGGAUUCAGAGAAGCAAAAUUCUUCAAUUAAAAGUAGAAAAAAGGGUGGAUUAAUUACCAUUCCUUUUAUUAUAGGUAUAUACUGAACUAUUUCAAAUAUUUCUUGUUUUGUGUUGUAAUUAAGUUUUAAGUUUUAUUUUUGAAUUGUUACAGCAAAUGAAGCACUGGAGAGUGUGGCGAGCUAUGGGCUUUUACCAAAUAUGACAUUUUAUCUGAUGAGAGAUUACAGGAUGGACAUUACUACAACUCAAAAUCUUCUGUUUUUCUGGUCAGCUGCUACUAAUUUUUUGCCUAUUGUUGGAGCUGUUGUUGCUGAUUCCUAUUUAGGUCGAUUCCUUACUAUUGGCCUUGGUUCCAUCUUCAGUUUCAUGGUAAUUCACUUAUACCUUCUUAUUUCAUCUUAUAAAUUAAAAAUUAACAUUUAUUUUUUGAGAUUAUCUCUAUAUUUUUGCAUAAAAAUAAAUUGAUGAAAGUUUUUUGAUUUUUUCUUCCUAUCAUCUAAGCUAUCUGAAUGACGUAAUACUCACUUUUAACUUUUAAUGUAACUCAAUUCGAAAAAGAGACUCGUAACAUCACUAAAAAAAAUGUUAAAACUCGACUAACUUUGUGGGGAUGUCAACGAUUCUUUAAAACAAAACUUACAAAAUUUUGUCGGAUAUUUUUCAUACACAAAAUACAGAAAUAAAAUGUUCGUGAAAAUUACUAAAUUACAAAUUACAAUUGAAACUAAAAUAAAGAAAUAAAAAUCUUUCUAGCUAAGGCACAAAAUUACAAGGUAUAAUAAAUAAAUGAAGAAUCAGAAUAAAGAACGAAUGAAGGAGAAGUAAUGGUCACCAAUGGGAAUAAGAAACUACCGCCCUACGUUACAAGUUACAACUAGGGGUGUCAAAUGGGCGGAUUGAUUUGAAAUUAGAAAUAUUAAAAUGAGUUGAAUAGAAAUCGGGUUGGGUCUUGACCAACCCAAGUUUACUUUUGAUUCAAAUGGGUUGGACUCAAAUGGGCUAAAAAAUAGAUUGGGUAUUGACCCACCCAAUUUGACCCGAUUAAUUUCAAUAACUUAACAUAUUGUCGCUCAAGAAUUUUUUGAUGAAAAGUAACAAAUUGAUAGAUAAAUCCUAAAAGAUGUUUAAUAAAUAAUAAUUCAUAUCUUUAAUAUAGAUACAUAUCUUCAUAACAAGUUUUAAACAAAUUGAAAUUGAAAAUUGAAUUGGCUCAAUUGACAAUUCUCUUCAAAUUGAUUAAGCUUGAAUGUGUUGAGAUUGAACCCAAUCAAAUUAUCUUGAAUCCACCCUUUAAAUUCUGAAUAAAUUAAACAGGUUACUUAUAUUUGAAUUCAUUUUUGACAACCCUACUUACAACAAUAAAUGAGGGCUAACUCACGAUCAAUAGCCCACUAACGGUUAAAAAGAAUAGCAACCAAGAAGAAUGGAAAUACGGCAUCUUUGUACUCCAUUAUAAGCAAAUUAAUAUAUAAAAUACUAAUAUUAAAAUGAAAAAUCAACAAUCUCCCACUGAUUUUAAUAUUAAUUAAGAUAGUUUAUCAGUUGUAGAAAUAUUACGCAUAAUAAAGGUGUGCUUUUUAUACUCUUCCGAUAUUAUUAAGUUUUUAAAAAUAAACUCAAAUUUUAUUAGAAACGAUCUAUUCUCAUACUUACAUAAAUAAAAUUUAUCGAAAAAGCUUAUGUAACUUUAACACUCCAUCCAAAUGAGCUACAAAUUUUCAUUAACAGUUUUAUAAGUAUUUUUAUGGGAUUUAAUAUUAUGGAACCGCUUGUCUACUUUAAAUAUGCGUUAGUUUUGUCCUUUAUGAUGACAAUCUUUAUUGAUCUUUUUUUUACUUCAUUAGAAGUGUUCUUUUUAAGAACUUUUCUAAUUGAAUUAUAAUAUAUUUCUGAAGAAAAUGCUAAUUUCAUUUUAUAAUCCACCUGUUUUAACUUGUUCAAUUUUAAUUUUUUACUUUUUAUUUUUGAUAAGUCAAAAAAAAAAUAUUCUUUUUUCUAUUAUAUUCACAAUUUAUUUAGAGAGUUAAUAUUUUUAGAAAGAUUAAAACCUUUUCAAUGAGUAAAUUAACUUUGAAAUUCGAUCAAUUAAUAAGGGUAAAAUGAUAAAUUUAUUAUGUCAAUUUUUUUUUUUAAUAGAUGUGUCAAGUUAAAAUUGAACAAGCAAAUAAACAGAGCGUAUACUAAUUUAGAAUUUCGUAAUCGUGAUUUGUGACAAAUAUUAUAAUCAUCAGCAUGCGUUAUUACUGUCAGAGGAUCCAAUGGUGGUUAAGUUAUGAAAAAUAGUACUGUCCUUAUUACCCUAAUUGCUGCUACAAAUAUUUAUUUCUAAGAUAACUAAUUAAACCACCACUUUUUAAAUUAGUAAAGGGAACAUUUGAGCAAUGAUAAAGUUAGCUUUGUCUGAGUGAUCUGUAUGAUUUAUAGGUCAGUGUAAAAUCAACCACGGAAGCUUGGCCGAUGGUGGUAAAUAUUUGUUAGUAAUUCCAGUGUGUUUUUGCAAGUGUUCACUAGGAAAAUAGGUUCAGUUGGACGUGUUAACUAUACAGUAUAUGUGACUAUUCCCAUAAGACGAGAGGAACUUACCUAAUUUUAACACUUGAAUGCCCUGUUGUUACAGGGAACUGUAGUGUUGUGGUUAACAGCAAUGAUUCCGAAAGCAAGACCUCCGCCUUGCAAUCAAUCAGGACAGGCUUGUAAAUCUACAACGACAUCACAAUACAUGCUCUUGGUUUUCUCAUUUCUGCUCAUGUCAAUUGGUGCUGGAGGUAUAAGAUCGUCUUCUUUAGCAUUUGGUGCUAACCAGUUAGACAAGGGAGAUAAUAAUCCCAACAAGUAUAAGAUGAUGGAGAGCUUCUUUACCUGGUAUUAUACUUUAUGCGUAGCUUCUGUUUUGAUUGCCCUGACGGGCAUCGUUUACCUACAAGACAGACUGGGGUGGAAAGUAGGUUUUGGAGUUCCUGCCAUCCUCAUGUUCUUAUCCGCUCUGUCUUUCUACCUUGCCUCUCCAUUUUAUAUCAAGCCAAAGGUUCGCUCAAAUGUGUUUGCCAGCUUUAUACAAGUAAUUGUCGUUGCCUGCAAGAAUAGGAAACUACAUUACCCCAAUCAGAACUCUGAUUAUCAUCACAAGAAUGGUUCAGGACCUCAAGUGCCAACGGAGAAAUUGAGAUUCUUAAACAAAGCUUGCAUCAUUAAAAGACCUGAAGAUGUUAAGCCAAAUGGAGUUGCAGCCAAUCCAUGGAACCUUUGCACAGUGGAGCAAGUUGAGGAGCUAAAAGCCCUCAUUAGAGUCUUGCCAUUGUGGUCAACGGGGAUCAUGAUAUCAAUAAACAUGAGCCAAAGUUCAUUCCCUUUAUUACAAGCUCAAUCCAUGGAUAGACAUCUAACUAAAGGGUUCGAAAUUCCAGCAGGAUCAUUUGGGAUGUUUAUGAUGAUUGCGUUAACAAUUUGGGUUUUUCUCUAUGACCGAGUGAUGCUUCCAUUGGCAUCAAAGAUCAAAGGAAGACCAGUUCGUCUAAAACCUAUAGUCAGAAUGGGAAUUGGCAUAUUUGUCUCUUGCAUGUCCAUGGUAGUCUCUGGUAUUAUUGAACAUGUUCGACGAAGAAAAGCAAUCUAUCAAGGGCUGUUGAGCAACUCGCAGGGUUUGGUGGAGAUGUCAGCAUUGUGGCUCAUAAUACCAAGCUGUUUAAAUGGGAUAGCAGAGGCAUUCAGCUCGAUCGGCUCCACAGAGUUCUAUUAUUCGGAGUUACCAAGGAGUAUGUCAAGUAUUGCAUCAGCUCUUUUAGGAUUGGGAAUGGCAGUGGCAAGUCUUUUAGCAAGUGUGAUUUUGAGUGCUGUGGAUAAGUACACCAAAGGAGAAGGGAAAGAAAGUUGGGUUUCAAGCAAUAUCAACAAGGGACA